rnacentral:rRNA from 1 species
CCCUUAGAUGUUCUGGGCCGCACGCGCGCUACACUGAUGCAUUCAACGAGUUUCUUCCUGGUCCGAGAGGAAUGGGUAACCUUUUGAAAGUGCAUCGUGAUAGGGAUAGACUAUUGCAAUUAUUGGUCUUCAACGAGGAAUUCCUAGUAGACGUAGUUCAUCAGACUGCAUCGAUUACGCCCCUGCCCUUUGUACACACCGCCCGUCGCUCCUACCGAUUGAAUGCUCAGGUGAGCCAUUCGGACUUUCAUCAUGCCGGUUUCCAGUUUUGAUGAAGGAAAGUCUUGCGAACCUUAUCAUUUAGAGGAAGGAGAAGUCGUAACA